rnacentral:rRNA from 1 species
UACGUAGGGUGCGAGCGUUGUCCGGAAUUACUGGGCGUAAAGAGCUCGUAGGUGGUUUGUCGCGUUGUCCGUGAAAACUCACAGCUCAACUGUGGGCGUGCGGGCGAUACGGGCAGACUUGAGUUCGGUAGGGGAGACUGGAAUUCCUGGUGUAGCGGUGAAAUGCGCAGAUAUCAGGAGGAACACCGGUGGCGAAGGCGGGUCUCUGGGCCGAUACUGACGCUGAGGAGCGAAAGCGUGGGGAGCGAACAGG